CCCAGGGUCGAUCUUGACCUUCUCCUAUCUUGAAUAUGUGACUCACUCGUCCAAGGGCAUGGCGUUCCUGUGCAUGUGCGCGAAGUUUUGUUUGCUAAAGUGCUGUGUAAAAGUGUGCUGACAUGACAGAACUGCAAAAAGAAGAACCUCACCCUGAAGAGGUGAAAAACUCACCCACCAUGAUAUUUCACUCAUGGGACAAUUAUAAAGUGUGUAACAUGAGAUGGAUCCAUCUAGCCAACGACUGAGACACCCUACGUGAGCGUGCUUCCGCAAAACUUCACAAAGCAGUACUACACCUGUGGAAAUGAAGACGGCAUCGGCAUAUGAACCAAGGUCCUUCAGCUUCUUCUGGUUACCUACAUGGAUGGUCACCUCUCGAUUGCGCCAAUCCUCCUCAUCAUAUCAAAAGACAGACUCUACCCGGGGGCCAUUUCUCUUUGUCCUGUGGACAAGUUCGCUGUGAAAACCUCCAAUACUAAUAGUGCAUCGGAAGUGGAACGCGGACACUACUUGUGGUUGUGCAGUGCUGUGUGGGUGACUAAUGAGGAUUCUUGUGAAGGAACAUUCUUCCACAAAUUUAUGUGCUUGUGCAUCGGUGGAGUUGACAGUGAUGUUUCAUAGAAGAAUGACGAGGAUCAUGAGGCCGUGGUGGAUAAUAUGAACAGGCGACUCCCAAUGACACGUGAAGUGGGCUGCACUACGCAAGUAUGCAACCUAUAUCAACCGUGACCAUUGACGAUGUUUCGCCUUGCUGAUGCUGGGUGAGUAAAGCACCGCAACUGGGACUCUCAAGCACCGACAUGACGAGAGCGAUGAAAGAAACAAUGUCCAGGGCAUGGCGGUUGACACAAAGAUGCGGGACGCAUCUCCUGUGCUUGUGCCAGAAGCAGUACCGCACUCGCAGCGAUAAGGAGAACAGGCAAUGCUAUGCAAGUAUGCAAGCUGAGUCAGUUGCAACCACAGUAAAUGAGGAUUUUUCGCCUUUCUGACAGAGGAUGGUGGAACGGAGACUCUCAAACUCCAAGAAUAAAACAGCGAUGAAACAAACCA